GUCGAACGCUGGCGGCGUGCUUAACACAUGCAAGUCGAACGGAAAGGCCCUGCUUUUGUGGGGUGCUCGAGUGGCGAACGGGUGAGUAACACGUGAGUAACCUGCCCUUGACUUUGGGAUAACUUCAGGAAACUGGGGCUAAUACCGGAUAGGAGCUCCUGCUGCAUGGUGGGGGUUGGAAAGUUUCGGCGGUUGGGGAUGGACUCGCGGCUUAUCAGCUUGUUGGUGGGGUAGUGGCUUACCAAGGCUUUGACGGGUAGCCGGCCUGAGAGGGUGACCGGCCACAUUGGGACUGAGAUACGGCCCAGACUCCUACGGGAGGCAGCAGUGGGGAAUAUUGCACAAUGGGCGGAAGCCUGAUGCAGCAACGCCGCGUGCGGGAUGACGGCCUUCGGGUUGUAAACCGCUUUCGCCUGUGACGAAGCGUGAGUGACGGUAAUGGGUAAAGAAGCACCGGCUAACUACGUGCCAGCAGCCGCGGUGAUACGUAGGGUGCGAGCGUUGUCCGGAUUUAUUGGGCGUAAAGGGCUCGUAGGUGGUUGAUCGCGUCGGAAGUGUAAUCUUGGGGCUUAACCCUGAGCGUGCUUUCGAUACGGGUUGACUUGAGGAAGGUAGGGGAGAAUGGAAUUCCUGGUGGAGCGGUGGAAUGCGCAGAUAUCAGGAGGAACACCAGUGGCGAAGGCGGUUCUCUGGGCCUUUCCUGACGCUGAGGAGCGAAAGCGUGGGGAGCGAACAGGCUUAGAUACCCUGGUAGUCCACGCUGUAAACGGUGGGUACUAGGUGUGGGGUCCAUUCCACGGGUUCCGUGCCGUAGCUAACGCUUUAAGUACCCCGCCUGGGGAGUACGGCCGCAAGGCUAAAACUCAAAGGAAUUGACGGGGCCCCGCACAAGCGGCGGAGCAUGCGGAUUAAUUCGAUGCAACGCGUAGAACCUUACCUGGGUUUGACAUGGAUCGGGAGUGCUCAGAGAUGGGUGUGCCUCUUUUGGGGUCGGUUCACAGGUGGUGCAUGCCUGUCGUCAGCUCGUGUCGUGAGAUGUUGGGUUAAGUCCCGCAACGAGCGCAACCCUUGUUCACUGUUGCCAGCACGUUAUGGUGGGGACUCAGUGGAGACCGCCGGGGUCAACUCGGAGGAAGGUGGGGAUGACGUCAAGUCAUCAUGCCCCUUAUGUCCAGGGCUUCACGCAUGCUACAAUGGCUGGUACAGAGAGUGGCGAGCCUGUGAGGGUGAGCGAAUCUCGGAAAGCCGGUCUCAGUUCGGAUUGGGGUCUGCAACUCGACCUCAUGAAGUCGGAGUCGCUAGUAAUCGCAGAUCAGCAACGCUGCGGUGAAUAGCGUUCCCGGGGCU
rnacentral:rRNA from 1 species